rnacentral:rRNA from 1 species
CCUACGGGAGGCUGCAGUAGGGAAUAUUGCUCAAUGGGGGCAACCCUGAAGCAGCAACGCCGCGUGAAGGAUGAAGGUUUUCGGAUUGUAAACUCCUUUUGUUAGAGAAGAUAAUGACGGUAUCUAACGAAUCAGCACCGGCUAUCUCCGUGCCAGCAGCCGCGGUAAUACGGAGGGUGCAAGCGUUACUCGGAAUCACUGGGCGUAAAGAGCGCGUAGGUGGGAUAGCAAGUCAGAUGUGAAAACCUAUGGCUUAACCAUAGAACUGCAUUUGAAACUGGUAUUCUAGAGUAUGGGAGAGGUAGGUGGAAUUCUAGGUGUAGGGGUAAAAUGCGUAGAGAUCAAGAGGAAUACUCAUUGCGAAGGCGACCUGCUAGAACAUAACUGACGCUGAUGCGCGAAAGCGUGGGGAGCAAACAGGAUUAGAUACCCCGGUAGUC